UUAUUCAAUGUUUGUUGGCAACUUGACUGCAACCUAUUCCCCUUUCUUUCAGUAUUUUCAUGACAUACUUAUGCAAUCCUAGCACUGCAAAGUCCCAGGUAGCAUUGAAACCCCUGCAGAAAUACUGCAUAAGAUUCAAUAAGGUGGCAACAAUUGGCCAAAGCUUCUUGGUUUUAGCUCUGGGGAUACAGAUGAGAAAGGCAAGUCAGGGAACAGGUUGCACCUUGCUGAGCUACAGGGCAAAGUCUGGGCCUCGGGUAAACAUGACAGAAGAGGUUAAGAGAGAUAUGAUGAAGAAUUGGUACUGGCAAAUUAAGAUAGGGAAUAACCCUUCAUUAAAUGUUGACAGAUAAAGAAACAAAAAUCAACCAGUUAGGGAGAACAGGAUAAUCUUCAGCUGGCCUUUGUGGCAAAGAGAAUCGUCUGUAUUUCAGAAGACAAAGAAUAAGCAAGUGGAAUAACUUGUCGGAGGCCAACCCAGAAGGGUUACCUCUCCUAAUUGUAGCUCUACAAGCAAACAGAAAGACAAAUAAGAAUUCUCUGGUAUGCUUGAUUUCCAGAAAUUGACUAAGAUAGGAAAGAACAAGAUGGAUAAUAUAGAAGGUUUUUGGAAGAAGCAUCCCUCCUCUGAAAGGCAAAGGCCCUUCUUGAGUCUGUGCCAAGUAAACCACAAGAAAAGUGCAGCUGCUUCUUGGAGCAGUACUUCAUCUUUGUUGAAGUUUGAGUGGAAAUGAAAAUUAAGAGCUGCUAGGCUGAUCUUCAUCUCCAUGCUUCACCUGUCAGAUUUAUACUUUAUCUCUUUGCUGAUGUUCUAUCGUAUCUCAGUCUGUUCACCUAUUAACUGUUUUGUGGUCAUAUAAGGAUCAUACUUGAUGAAAGGUACAGCUAUCACUUUCAACAGAAUAAACUAUUCUUUUCUCUCUGGAAAAGACUCAAACAGAAAAUGAAAAGAUAUAGAACUACUUUAGAAUAAGUUUUUUUCUUUAGCGGCUAACUGGAACAUGGAAGAGGCAGUUCCUAUGACAAACUUCUUCCCUGACAGUCAUUUUGAUUCUACACCUUAAAGAGUUGCCUUCAGAGACAGAGUCAGCCAGGAAGAGAUGGGGAUAACACAGUUUCAAGUAAGCUAGAAGCUAGCAUGUAAUUCUGUUUGAAUCCAGAAUUCAGCUCACUGCUUAGGGUGCAUGUGUAAGAACAAGGGCAAUAUAUAUAGUUCAUACAAGGAAAUAGAAAGAGGAUGGGAACAGACAGGAUUUGUGGUUUCACAGGGGGUCAUUUCUGAUUUUAAGGAGAUUUGUCUGCCCUGUUUCUAGGGCAGAAGGCAGGAAGUUGCUAAAUGGAAAAGGAAAAUAUUGUUCUACUUGAACAUCUUACUGGCACUGUCAGAUGAUUCACAGGCUCUGGAGAACACAGACAUUACCAGCUCAGCACAUCUCUAUACCAAUCACCAUUUGUCAUAUGUACUUCAGACCAAAGCAUGCCUUGGUACAAAGGCACUCCAUGGGAGAACCCCAGGAACAUUUAUCACUACGAUGAGCAUACUGCACUGAUUCCAACUAAGCCCCAGACCCCUAUUGUGCUAGGCGCUAUAGCAACAAACAGUAAAAGGCAGUCCUUGUUCCUAAAGACAUUUCCAUCUAAAUGGACAAGACAUUGCCAGAGAUUUCUCUUUUACUCUUCAGUUCAUAACAGUUGCAAAACAACUGGAACGGCAUCAAGAAUUACAACGAAUAGACUGUGACAAUACCAGCUGUGGGAUGAACCCACAAGUAGGUGGGAGACCCCAGGCCAUUAAAAGACUGUGUGCAAUCCUGAUCCCACACAACCAACAUGGAAACUCCUAUCAACUCUAACAAGAACUAGGAUUUUCCCUCUCCAUUCCCAUUUCACCAGAUACACAUCUAUAUGGGGUGAUGAGUGUCACACAGUGAUAACUCCAAAUUAGCUCGGUUCUAAAAGCAAAGUUGCACUACUGACCUGUUGUUCCUAUUGAGAUAUCUGGGAACUUGUAAACAGAAGCAUCUCUUCUGAUAUUAGGGAACUUGCUACAUUCUAGAUACUAUUUACUUCCAUCGCAUAACUUUCCAGCCCUAGCAGGAGAAUCAAGUAACUUUUUUUUUUUUAAUCCUUUCUAAAAGAUGUAAUGCACAUUAAAGCAGAGAUAGUUAUCAUUUCAUACAUGCAGGUCUGUUUUCUGAACAUUCUGACUAUGAACGUAACAUAAUAGAAGUUGGAGUGAUUCUCAUUUUGCACCUGCAAGUAUAUCACAAAAUUAACCAUCUUUAUUAUUUUGCAAAACUAGCAGUACACUUCACUAACGGUACAGUCACCUCAGUCAAAAGAGGAAUGAACUUUCACUUAACAUGCUAAAAAUAUAGUUGAGAAACCUUCAAACUCAGACUAUGAUAAAAUAGACUGUGUUGGCUGAGCAGAUCAGCAGCUGCUGCUGUUCAGGCGCCUUCACCCUAAGAGCAUUCAUCUUUCUUUCCACCAAAUUUAGAGAUGAUGUCAGUGCAGCCAACCCUGGGAGUUCAAAAAAAUCAGAAGACAAACCAAAAUAGAAUCACAGGACUGAUAUCAAAGUAUGAAGGAUAUUGAAACUGAAGCGUAUGAUUUGGGGAGGGUGGGAGGGGAUGAUGGUCAGUCCUUAGAUUUAAUUCAUAGGAGACACUCUUCCCCCUUCCAGUUGUCUGCUCAGUUCUGGCUGUCUGACACGCCCUAUUUCAAGGCUGAGAGGCAACGCAGGAUAAUGGGAAGCACAAAGAAUUGGGAAUCUAUUUAAAGUUUAUUUAAAGUUCAAUUCUCCAUCAUAUGUAAAGCCUAAAUCCUGAAAAUACCUUAUCUGAAUGCUCAAGCCGAUUCAUGCAAGCAGCCCCAGCAGAAAACAGUAGGGGUCCUCUCCUGCUUGACGUUUGUCGCUUACAUAAGUUAUUAUCAUUGCACUUUAGAACUGUUACUCUCUGCCAAGUUAAUAAGAAAUACCUAAGAAUGAAUUGAGCCUGUCACUGACUUUCUCUGAUUUUGGGCAAGUCCUGUAUCAUUUUCUAUCCCCUGCUCUUCGUAAAAAGAUGAUAACAUUUAUUCUCUACAAAGUACUUGGAAGCUUCCAAAUAAAAGAUAAUAAUAUUAAGAGAACAAAUAGACCACGUUCCAAUGUAAACUGAAUCCUAGAGAACGCAGCUGGAAAGAAGGCUUAAAAAUCAGCUAAAAGUCUUUCAUAAUUUAAUUUCUAAGAAAGUCAAACCCAUAGAACUGAACUUGAGCCACUAGAGAUCAACACUCAAGAGAAAGGUCUCAUUUUUCCUCACUGCAAACAAGACUCUAUUUCUCAUUUCACAGUCUGGACAUUUAGCACUUCAGAAGUAUAAGCAGAUCCUUUUCUGGAAACCGCAGUUCCUCAGACUUAACAUUCUUCAUUCUGAAGUUUACCAAUAUCUAGAUAUGUUUUUUUUUUUUUUUUCCCCCCCCUAUAUAAAUCCAGUUAAAAUUCUACAUUUUGCAUUUAAUUCCUCCCAAUUUGGAUUUAUUCUGAAUGUGAAUUUUCUGAUGUGUUAAGAUAAAACAGCUUGCUAGAAUAGUACUCACUAAAAAUAAUGGAAGGCUUUCAUCUUUUAUUAAGCAUUUGAAAUGACUAAAUACUACUCACAGAAUGGCUUAAUUUGAAGAGGCAAACUGAUAUAUUUUGUUAAUUAGACCAUUAAAAAACUAAUUUAGGUGUAAAUAAGUCUAGGUCAUUAAAUCUUAAUGUACAGCAUUAAAGUGAAACUUCAGUUUUCACACUUUAUAUUAAUGUUAAUUUAUGACCCUACAAAGUAAUUUUAAAUAGAAUUAACAUCAAAAGAACCUACUUCACCCCAUCCUCUUGUUAAAGAGAAGAAUGUAUUGAUAGUAAUGAAAAAGUGUCAUUUCUGCUCUGUCCUCCGUUUAUCAUUUACAUAUAUGUAUAUACACAAACACACUUCUGUCUAAAAGAGUUUGUUUAUACUUGGAUAUAAAACACAGAUAUUUUGAAAUCAGUUAUCUACACGAAUACAUAGAAAGCACAGAAAACAAACAAACAACAAACAGCAAUAAUCAGUGACACUGCUUCUAAUUUUCAGAAUAACAAGGACAAGCUAUUUCAAUGAAAUCAUGUAAUUAGUCCAACAUGCGAUUAGGCAAAGCUAAAAAAAGGCAAUACCAAAAGGGUCAAGUCUUGGAACAAUUACCAUCUACAAUGCUAAAAUGUAACAGAAAGUACAGUGAUAGUAGAAGGGUGGCACAACCCCAUGCUGCAGCAAAUCAAGACAAGCCCAAGUGCAGCAGCUACGGACACAGAAACAAAGUAAGAAAGACCAUUUACCUUUGAAAGACCUCAGAUAGGCAGGGAUCUCCACUGAGAUGCCCUCACCCCUGCUGCCAACCAUUAAAUGAGGUCUGAGAAGGGGCACACCCUGGCUCCACCCCUUCCAGUUACUCAGGUACAUUGCAUGCACCUGAGCUCCCCUGGGUUGGCCCUGCCUUCCCACCAGGUGCUCAAUCACUGCUUCAGGCUGUGACUUAGCAUUUCCACUACACCAUCACAAAGUUGUAUUUUCUGUUUCUCAUAACUUUAUAAAACUGGAACUAUUUGGACCAAAAGUUUCUAGGAAAUUUCAAACUCAGACUGAUUUUAGAAAAUUUCAGAAAAAAAAAAAAUCAGAAAAUUACCAGAGAAAUUCAGCCACUUCUAUGAGCAAGGAACAAGCUGAUUAUAGGGACAUAUUUUAUAGGAAUUUAAUAUAGCAAAGAGAUUGAAGAAGGAAUUAACAGAAACUGGAAAUGGACAGUAGAGUACAGGAGAGACAGGCUGAGUGCUCUAGAAAACAGGUGCUAUACCAGAGAAUGCUAUGGAUCCUGGAAAAUGGAAAAGAAUGAGACUGGACGAAGAGUGGAAAAGGGAAGGACUAAAAAAAAAAAAAAAGUGUAGGGAAUAAAAGGACUCUUGUUAAGAAGAAAUCGUAGGUCUUAAGAAAUACUUAUUAAGAAGAAAUUUCAAGGACACCAGAAUCCCAACACUAUUGUAAAAAGCAGCAAUUUUCAUGUAUUUCCACAUACAUAAGUCAGGGACCAAAAUUUAAAAAUUCCAUAGUAUAAUAAUUAGUCAUUCUUUUCAAACGCAUCCUUUAAUGAAAUGUUACAAGUUCUCUCUUUUCAAGAGGAUGCAGAAAUGUCUGUUCUCUGUCGUAACAGCCAGGGAGGGUUAUAUUAACUCCCAUCAGCAGGGAUGCUGCCCAACAUUUACAGGGAUGUUCUGUGACUCUAACAUUUGACUGUACCUGUUCCUGGACUCGGUGUCUAGUUGAGUUGUGCACAUACAAAAAUAAGGAUCUUUAAAAAGACUUACAUUAUUUGCAGCCUUCCAAAAUCACUUUGAUAUGCUACACUGAUAAGCAACCUGUCUUUCCUUGCCUUCUAGAUAACAAUCUCAUAUGAGUCACAAGUGUUUCACUGAAAGAUUGUACUAAACAUGGGUGUUCCUGCAUAGAUAUUGGCAAAUUGAGGGUAGAUGCAGAUUUUAGACUUAAGAAAGAAAUUUUUCAUUAUGUGGGUGCUGAGACACUGGAACAGGUUGCCCAGUGAAGUUAUAGAUGCUUCAUCCCUGGAAAUAUUCAAGGCCGGGUUGGAUGGGGGCUUCAAUGGACCUGGUCUACAGGAAGAUGUCCUGCCCAUGGCAGGUGGGUUGGAACUAGAUCUUUAAAUGUUCCUUUCCACUGAAACUGUUUUAUUAUUCUAGGAUAAACAGUGUUAUUGCAGUCAAAUAGGAGUGAUUGCUUCCACUAUACAUGUUCUUUAGAAGUGUGUGACAUACACAGUUGAGCAUGACACAAGAAAGUUCAAAGAAUGUUUAAACACACCUCAGGGAGCCACUAUGUUUUCUACUGGCAUUACAGAAGAAAGACUAAUUGCAUUUGCACAGUGCAAGUGUUUUAUUUCUACCACUGCUCUUAAUUUUUUUUUUUUUUUUUGGUAAAGAUUUAAUGCAGUCUACUUAAAGAAAGUUAUAAUAAAAAGCAGGUAAUUAAGGACUAAUCAAUCAGAGAUUAUUGGACAGCCUGAAUAUAUUUAGGUUCUACCAUCUGAGCUAUGCUCGUUCCUCCUGAUUUUCUGUAAUAUCAGCAAUAGACUAGAAUUCUUAUUGCUGGCAUCAAGGUGGUGUAAUAUCAACACUAUUCUAGCUCCAAGUGCAAAGCACAGCACUAUGUGGGCUACUGUGGGAAAGUUAACUCCAUCCCAGCCAGAGCUGGUACAAUUCUUUUGGCAAACAUAGUCAGGAUUGCCAUAUUAAACACAUUUGUUUUUACUGAGAACAUAAAGAUGUCAUUUGAAGUGUAUGCACACCACCUCAAAGUGCCCUUCAUGAGAUGUGUGAAAUUGAUGGAGUUAACUGAGUGAAAAAGCACAGUUGGUGAGAUUGUCAUGGGUUCGUUACAUACACAGUGAAUUAGGAGGUACAAGCUGCAGUUGAACUACUUGUGUCUCCAGCUGAUUGAAAUGCCACAUGUUAACAUGAAUAAUCCGUUUGCAAUAAUAAAAAAUAUGUCUUAAUGCUAAUGGAAUAAUUAUGUAAUUUUCUUUUGAGAAAAAAGGGCUUUCCUGAUUUCCAUUUAGAAAGUUCACAGAAUUUCCUAAAAUUAAAACUUCCGCUGUCUUGGAAAUUCUCUUACUUGGUUUUCAAUGUUAUUACAUAUCCAAUUAUCUAGUGGAGCUAUGUGACAGACAGGCUGCAGUCUGUGGUCUAACAUGAUCAAAUUUGACACUGCUUAUUGCUUUCUUAGGUGUCUUUUUGACAGAUUACGGUUGGUGUACAAAAGUCUAGGUGGAGGUUGUUGGAUUAUAUGAUCUUCCUUCGUAAUUUAUCCAAAAUAAUCUUUAGCUUGAAUUUGCUUCAUUACAAUUGAAUUCGUUAAAUCUAAAACAAGUGAACCUGCCACUGAUCUGCUGACACACUGAGUUCAAGUUUCUUCUUACUUAGUACACUGUGGAGUGUUUAAAUGAGAAUUCUCUGCUCCCCUUGGACAGGUGAAGAUUGAUUCCAGUGGUGUUGCAAUCAGACUGUAAAUCAAGGGAGUUGAGACUGACAGCAUUUCAUUGGUAUGACCAAGAGAAGAGCCAGAUUAUUCUUUGCCAAUCUCUAUGACUAUGGAGAACCAUUCUAAUAUUUCUUCUUUUCUUACUCGUUCACUACUGAUAUUGUGACAGGAUUUGUAAUACCAUUAGGCUGUGAUGCCAAGAGCAAUCCUUUUAAAGAGUGUGACACUGAAUACAGUCUGUGGCAAAUGAUGCCUUCAGUUAAAAAGUAUAACUGUGACAGAACUCUCCCAGAACCUUUAACAGAGAAUGUCUUGACCAAAAAGUGACAAAAGAGAAAACACUGCUUCAGCUUCUGUAUCACAGCACUGAGACAGAAAAAUCUCAACUGAAAAUUUCUUUUUGUGCAAUGAUUGAUCUCACUUUCAUUUAAAGUACUAUAAGUCACAAGGAAUCACUGAAAUCAGUUGGAACUACAGCCCUAUAUAUUAGAUGUCAUAGGUAUAAAAAAAUUGUAAGAUAUUUUUAAUGGGUCACUUAGCUCUGCUCCUUAGUUUUAUUUUGGCUCUAACAUUUAUCAGCCUUGCUUGUCCAAACUAACUCUUAAAGUAGAAAUAUUUAGUGAGGUUUGACAGAAAUGAGCAUACUACACUGGAUAUUCAAAUAUCAAGUAAUACAGAAUUUGUCAUAAAGGGUCCAUCCACUAUUCUACAGUUCCUCUUACACUUUAUAGGACCACAAAACAUCUAAAUGACAGUAAGAAAAAGAUAAAAGUGUUCCUUCUUCAUCAUAUUUCUCUGACUCAUGAAAUUUGAUUAUCUGUACAAUCACAGCUACAAAUAGUAUUAGUAAAUAAAAAAUUACCCAGCCCUAUUAAUAAGUACACGUUAUCUGUUCUCUGUUCCAUUGAAAAUUCCAUGGGCUACCUAUUUCCUUUUAUGUGUCCUGAGUUCACUGGCCAUAAUUGCAUGAGAUAUUUCUUUCACUGAAAUAUGGAAUGCAGAACACCCCUAUUGCCCUUCUGAACACUGGACUAUUUUCCAACUGCUUCCUACUCUUUCCAAACAAAACCACAUUAGGAUGAGAAUAUCACUGGUAUGAAUUGGUAAAGGCAGUUCAUAUCUUCUAAAUCUUUAUAGUCUUGAAGUGCUUUUUAUGUAAAUCUCACUAGCUUGCUGCAUUUUUAUGAGAUAUCAUACACAGUCCAUUCUAUAUUCCGGUUUUCUCUAUCACAACUGGGAACAGCUGUACUGGAAAAGAAAAUUUAGCUCUUAAAAAGCAUCUGUUAUGUCAUCAUGGUGUCUUGAAAGAACUAUAAUAAAUGAGGAAUGCUAUGUUUCUGAUUAUUACACUCAUUUGCUAGAAACUUGGCCUCUUCUCUGUUUUUUUCUGUUGCUGUUUUUGGGUGGGUUGCACUUGUCAUUUUUUUUUU